rnacentral:rRNA from 1 species
CCUACGGGUGGCAGCAGUGAGGAAUAUUGGUCAAUGGACGAGAGUCUGAACCAGCCAAGUAGCGUGAAGGAUGACUGCCCUAUGGGUUGUAAACUUCUUUUAUAAAGGACUAAAACGAGGCACGUGUGCCUUUUUGCAUGUACUUUAUGAAUAAGGAUCGGCUAACUCCGUGCCAGCAGCCGCGGUAAUACGGAGGAUCCGAGCGUUAUCCGGAUUUAUUGGGUUUAAAGGGAGCGUAGAUGGGUUGUUAAGUCAGUUGUGAAAGUUUGCGGCUCAACCGUAAAAUUGCAAUUGAUACUGGCAGUCGUGAGUACAGUUGAGGUAGGCGGAAUUCGUGGUGUAGCGGUGAAAUGCUUAGAUAUCACGAAGAACCCCGAUUGCGAAGGCAGCUUACUAAACUGUGACUGACAUUGAUGCUCGAAAGUGUGGGUAUCAAACAGGAUUAGAUACCCGAGUAGUC